UUACCGAGGGUUCGAAUCCCUCUCUUUC
rnacentral:tRNA from 1 species